UACGAAGGGUGCGAGCGUUGUUCGGAAUUACUGGGCGUAAAGGGUUCGUAGGCGGAAUUGUAAGUCAAGUGUGAAAUCCCCGAGCUUAACUUGGGACGUGCAUUUGAAACUAUAAUUCUUGAGUGAUGGAGAGGGUGGUGGAAUUGUUGGUGUAGGAGUGACAUCCGUAGAGAUCAGCAGGAACAUCAGAGGCGAAAGCGACCACCUGGCCGUAUACUGACGCUGAGGAACGAAAGCGUGGGGAGCAAACAGG
rnacentral:rRNA from 1 species